CCCUUAGAUGUUCUGGGCCGCACGCGCGCUACACUGACGAAUGCAACGAGCUUAUAACCUUGGCCGAAAAGUCUGGGUAAUCUCCAAAUUUCGUCGUGAUGGGGAUAGAUUAUUGCAAUUAUUAAUCUUCAACGAGGAAUGCCUAGUAAGCGCAAGUCAUCAGCUUGCGUUGAUUACGUCCCUGCCCUUUGUACACACCGCCCGUCGCUCCUACCGAUUGAAUGGUCCGGUGAAGCGUUCGGACCGUGGCCUUUGGACGGUUCGCCGUCUGUUGGCUGCGGGAAGUUCGUUAAACCUUAUCAUUUAGAGGAAGGAGAAGUCGUAACA
rnacentral:rRNA from 1 species